CAAGCUAAUUGACCUCAAUUCCUCAAACGCUAGACUUUCACAAAUCCAGACACAAUAUCAUCAAAUCAAAUAUAUAUAAAUGAUCAAGUUGAAUUUGAAGUCAGUUUAUAACGGCAGAGAAACCCUUAACCGGACACUAACACCAGAAUUUCAUCUUUUCAUUCUACCUUUUUUAUGAGGUAAAAAGCCUUUAGCCCGGUAUGCUUGUUUUGACAAGGUCAUCCAAACAUUCAUAUAACUGUGUCAACUGAGAGAAACCGCUGCAGAUGUUUUCUGCUGAAGGAUUGGAUAACGAUGAAGUUGACUCCCAUAUUUUGGUCGUGUUUAGCAAUUUCAUGAUUCUGUCAGUGUUUUGAUGUGAUCUGCAAGGAAGACUAACUGAACGAAAAGGUACAGAUCUCGGUUUUGAGGAAAGGCCCAUUCUGAUUAAUUUGCUCUAACUGUGGUGAGAGUCAAGGCAGAGAGUAAUGUCAGAAAUGGUUUGUGAUUCUUAUAACUACCAUCUGGUGCUCACAUAUUUAUAGGCAAUUUAGAGGACAAUAUAAAAUUUAUGAAAUCUGCAGCAAAUCUAGGACAGAAAUGUGUGACAUGAUACGUGGAGUGCUAUUCAAUGCUGGUUAUCAUCUCCUUUCAUUAAAUGAUCGAUACGUGGCAUACACCAAUUGCAUAAGGGUAGAAUCAGCACCCGGCUGCGAGGUCCUUACAUGUGAGAAGAGAUUGUUUACUGCAUCUUGGGAAUGGGCUACAUAUUUUAUAUCGGUAUCCAUGUGAAAACUGUUCAAGAUUGAAAGAAUGCACUUUAAGAAAGGAUUUAAAAACCAAAAGAUCUUCUGUAAAACAAAUAUCACAGCAUGUGGAGGAUAGUAUGAGCAGUUUUCUAUUCUGGAGUUUCAAGACAUUAUUUGCAUUUGCUUGUUGUUAUACGUGGAGUCGCGAGACUCCACGGAAUUAUCAUCUUUUUCAAUACGUGUUCUCUUUUGUAGUUCUUCAUUACAAAUAUCCUAUGUUUCACAAUGUCAGCCCAUAUCACUAAUUUAUGGCCAUGUGGUAUUUCAGCAAAUAAAGUACUCUCAUUUCAACA